rnacentral:rRNA from 1 species
GUGCCAGCAGCCGCGGUAAUACGUAGGGUGCGAGCGUUAAUCGGAAUUACUGGGCGUAAAGCGUGCGCAGGCGGUUAUGUAAGACAGAUGUGAAAUCCCCGGGCUCAACCUGGGAACUGCGUUUGUGACUGCAUAACUAGAGUACGGCAGAGGGAGGUGGAAUUCCGCGUGUAGCAGUGAAAUGCGUAGAGAUGCGGAGGAACACCGAUGGCGAAGGCAGCCUCCUGGGCCAGUACUGACGCUCAUGCACGAAAGCGUGGGGAGCAAACAGGAUUAGAUACCCUGGUAGUCCACGCCCUAAACGAUGUCAACUAGUUGUUCGGUGAGGAGACUCAUUGAGUAACGCAGCUAACGCGUGAAGUUGACCGCCUGGGGAGUACGGCCGCAAGGUUAAAACUCAAAUAAAUUGACGG